rnacentral:misc_RNA from 1 species
UCUUAAUGAUCCUUGCGUUAUUGUUGAGACUUCCAACACUAGUAAAUGAAGCAAAAUGCGAGUAUUUUGAAAUUUCAUAAUACCAAUUAAAUACAGCCAGGGUUCACAAUAGUGCUGGGCCUACAAAAGGCGCUCAACCUUUUGUUUUCAGAAUCUCAUCUCCAAAAUUGGUGAAAGAAAUAUUUAAAUCACUUCAGCAUUCAAAUUUGAGAUCUUCACAGAUAGAAUGGGUUGUAGAGGGGCACUCCCCCUUCUUCAAAUGCAAAAUCCGCACAAAUCCAUUCUGCAGAUUGUUGAACAUGGAACCGAUAAGUAAAACUACUAUAUAGACCACAACCUAUUGCGUUUGGCCAGGUCUAUAAGAUGGUGGCAUUGCAGCACCCUGUGGUAGGCCACUAU